UACGUAGGGUGCAAGCGUUAAUCGGAAUUACUGGGCGUAAAGCGUGCGCAGGCGGUUAUGUAAGACAGGUGUGAAAUCCCAGGGCUUAACCUUGGAACUGCAUUUGUGACUGCAUAGCUAGAGUACGGUAGAGGGGAGUAGAAUUCCGCGUGUAGCAGUGAAAUGCGCAGAUAUCAGGAGGAACACCGGUGGCGAAGGCGGGUCGUCU
rnacentral:rRNA from 1 species